CCUACGGGCGGCAGCAGUGGGGAAUAUUGGACAAUGGGCGAAAGCCUGAUCCAGCCAUGCCGCGUGUGUGAAGAAGGCCUUCGGGUUGUAAAGCACUUUCAGUGGGGAAGAAAGCCUUGGGGCUAAUACCCUCGAGGAAGGACAUCACCCACAGAAGAAGCACCGGCUAACUCCGUGCCAGCAGCCGCGGUAAUACGGAGGGUGCGAGCGUUAAUCGGAAUUACUGGGCGUAAAGCGCGCGUAGGCGGUCUGAUAAGCCGGUUGUGAAAGCCCCGGGCUCAACCUGGGAACGGCAUCCGGAACUGUCAGGCUAGAGUGCAGGAGAGGAAGGUAGAAUUCCCGGUGUAGCGGUGAAAUGCGUAGAGAUCGGGAGGAAUACCAGGGGCGAAGGCGGCCUUCUGGACUGACACUGACGCUGAGGUGCGAAAGCGUGGGUAGCAAACAGGAUUAGAUACCCUAGUAGUC
rnacentral:rRNA from 1 species